rnacentral:tRNA from 1 species
GGAGAGGUGGCCGAGUGGUUUAAGGCGGCGGUCUCGAAAACCGCUAUCCUGAAAUGAUCAGGAUCGUGGGUUCGAAUCCCACCCUCUCCG